GUGUCAGCAGCCGCGGUAAUACGUAGGGGGCGAGCGUUGUCCGGAUUUAUUGGGCGUAAAGCGCGCGCAGGCGGCCAGGAGAGCCCGGCGUGAAAGCCCCCAGCUCAACUGGGGGAGGCCGUUGGGGACCUUCAGGCUGGAGGCCGGUAGGGGAGAGUGGAAUUCCCGGUGUAGUGGUGGAAUGCGUAGAUAUCGGGAGGAACACCGGUGGCGAAGGCGGCUCUCUGGACCGGACCUGACGCUCAGGCGCGAAAGCGUGGGGAGCGAUCCGGAUUAGAUACCCUUGUAGUCC
rnacentral:rRNA from 1 species